AUAUCAGUAAGCGGAGGAAAAGAAAACAACUGUGAUUCCCUUAGUAACUGCGAGUGAAACGGGAACAGCUCAAAACCGAAUCUCCUUGGCUUGUACCAGGGCGAAUUGUGGUUUAUGGACCGAAUCUACGGUCGGGAAGCUCGGCGAGGUCCGUUGGAACACGGCGGCAUAGAGGGUGAGACCCCCGUAGCUGAGUGGAACGGUCAAUAAGAUUUGGCUCCUCGAGUCGCACUGUUUGAGAGCACAGUGCUAAGUGGGAGGUGAGUACCUUCUAAAGCUAAAUAUCAGUCUGAGACCGAUAGCGAACAAGUACCGUGAGGGAAAGUUGCAAAGAACUUUGAAAAGAGAGUUAAAAGAACCUGAAACCGGUAAUGGGGAAGGGUUCGGGCGAUCCGCGGUUGAUUUCUCUUCAGGUUGCGGAACGAAGGGAUUGCUGGGAGAAGAGCGAGUUUUUAACUAGCCUGACUCUCGGCGUGAACUUUGAGCUGCUUCUGUACUGGGAUAGGCCGCCCGGGACUGUUUGACUGCGCCUCAGAAGCCCCCGAUUUUGGUGCCGCCGCCGGAUUACUGGUGUCGGCCGAAGGAUCGGUGUGGUGGAGGUGCGGGCGAACUGAAUAAACCCAA
rnacentral:rRNA from 1 species